GGGUGAGUGGUGUAAUGGUAGCAUAUUUGACUGUGACUCAAUAGAUCCGUGUUCGAAUCACGGUUUACCCA
rfam:Tritrichomonas foetus strain K scaffold_41, whole genome shotgun sequence.